rnacentral:rRNA from 1 species
GUAGUCCUGGCUGUAAACGAUGUCGACUUGGAGGUUGUUCCCUUGAGGAGUGGCUUCCGGAGCUAACGCGUUAAGUCGACCGCCUGGGGAGUACGGCCGCAAGGUUAGAACUCAAAUGAAUUGACGGGGGCCCGCACAAGCGGUGGAGCAUGUGGUUUAAUUCGAUGCAACGCGAAGAACCUUACCUACUCUUGACAUCCAGAGAACUUAGCAGAGAUGCUUUGGUGCCUUCGGGAACUCUGAGACAGGUGCUGCAUGGCUGUCGUCAGCUCGUGUUGUGAAAUGUUGGGUUAAGUCCCGCAACGAGCGCAACCCUUAUCCUUUGUUGCCAGCGGUUCGGCCGGGAACUCAAAGGAGACUGCCAGUGACAAACUGGAGGAAGGUGGGGAUGACGUCAAGUCAUCAUGGCCCUUACGGGUAGGGCUACACACGUGCUACAAUGGCAUAUACAAAGAGAAGCGACCUCGCGAGAGCAAGCGGACCUCACAAAGUAUGUCGUAGUCCGGAUCGGAGUCUGCAACUCGACUCCGUGAAGUCGGAAUCGCUAGUAAUCGUAGAUCAGAAUGCUACGGUGAAUACGUUCCCGGGCCUUGUACACACCGCCCGUCACACCAUGGGAGUGGGUUGCAAAAGAAGUAGGUAGCUUAACCUUCGGGAGGGCGCUUACCACUUUGUGAUUCAUGACUGGGGUGAAGUCGUAACAAGGUAACCGUAGGGGAACCUGCGGCUGGAUCACCUCC